UACGUAGGGGGCAAGCGUUGUCCGGAAUCAUUGGGCGUAAAGCGCGUGUAGGCGGCUCGGUAAGUCUGCUGUGAAAGUCCAGGGCUCAACCCUGGGAUGCCGGUGGAUACUGUCGAGCUCGAGUCCGGAAGAGGCGAGUGGAAUUCCUGGUGUAGCGGUGAAAUGCGCAGAUAUCAGGAGGAACACCGGUGGCGAAGGCGGGUCUCUGGGCCGUAACUGGACGCUGGAGGAGCGAAAGCGUGGGG
rnacentral:rRNA from 1 species